rnacentral:rRNA from 1 species
UACGGAGGGGGCUAGCGUUGUUCGGAAUUACUGGGCGUAAAGCGCACGUAGGCGGCUUUGUAAGUUAGAGGUGAAAGCCCGGGGCUCAACUCCGGAAUUGCCUUUAAGACUGCAUCGCUAGAAUUGUGGAGAGGUAAGUGGAAUUCCGAGUGUAGAGGUGAAAUUCGUAGAUAUUCGGAAGAACACCAGUGGCGAAGGCGACUUACUGGA